UGGGAUUCGAUGAUAACAGAGAAUGUGAGUCACGGCAAAAUUAGUCAAAACAAAAAAAGAAACUUAACAAAAGCUCGUCACUGAAAAAUGAAUGACCCCAAUUGGAGGAAAAGAAGUAAGGAGGAAGAAAGGGGAAUAAUCACCUGAAUUGGAGAGAGAGAGAGAGAGAGAGAGAGAGAGACAGAGAGAUGGUUUUGGUGUGUUUGCAAAUUACUCACAAACACAAAGGAAAUGUGAGCUUAGGA
rnacentral:lncRNA from 1 species